GUAGCAUAUAUCAUUUGGUUUUUAAUAGAGAUCUGGGAUGAAAGGUCUAACAAAUAUUAGUUUCUUGCCCGUAAAGAGUGAAUUUAAGAUUUAAGUAAAAACGCUUAAAUUGUUUGUGGGACGACAAGACCCUAAAAGCUUUAUUUUUGGAAUUAAAGUAUUUUUAAUAUUUAAUGAAGUUAAAUAUUUGGUUGGGGUAAUGGCUUUGAAUAUGUCAGAGUAUUUUUUUAUAGUGUAAUUAGAUACAGGUCCUUAUUAUUAGGAUAGUAGUUAUAGUUACUUUAGGGGUAACAGGGUAAUUAUUUUAUAAAGCUCUUAUUUAUAAAAUAGGUUUCUACCUCGAUGUUGAAUUAAUGUUUCGGCGAGAUGAAAAAGGUUCGUUCAGAGGGUUUGUUCAACCUUUAAUUUUUU
rnacentral:rRNA from 1 species